GUACAAUGUGUUUGGCACUAAAGUGGUGGAUGUAAUGCACCCAUUCCGGGAACAAGCUCUGCACUAAAAUCAGAGGAAGGGAUAGGCCUUGUUGAGCCUGUUAAAAGAUAGGCUGUUAAGAUUUUUUGGUUUUAUUAUUAGGCAUUGGUGAUAAUAAAAGUAGUGUCCCUGUUUAAUGUUUUUUUUUUUUUUUUUUUACAGGUGAUUGUCUCUGGAGUUGUCUUGGCCUUUUGGAUCUUCUGUUCAUCUAGGAGCAUCUGUCCCACAACCUGAAACAGUUCAUAUAAAUGUUUGUAACAGAAUUUCAUAAUUGAAAGUAAAAAAAAGUUACAACACAAAUAACUGGUAACUGUACUUCAUCUAAUUGUAAUAUAUAAUUGAAGUUUAAAUAUGCUUUUUCUUUCAGACUAUAGAUCAGGAAGUCCAGAACAACAUCCUAGAGUUUGAAGGUGGUGUUUGCUCGACAUUCAGAAUUGGGUACUUUGCUAGAUUACAAUGGUAUCAAAGCAGCGAGUGGCUGUUCUACUCGGCACAUCUAUGAAGCUGGUUGUGGAGGGUGCUUCCAACAUAACUUCAGGAACAGUGUACAGAACAAUUGGUGGAACUUGUAUGCUACAGAAAGUAGCACAGGGGCUGGCCAGCUGAGCAGACAGCACACUGGAGAUGUGAUCCUGUGGUCCCAGGUUGAAUCCUGGCAAGAAAUGGUGGGCUGAGUUUUUCACCCUAUGCCCCUAAUUGGGAAGUCCAGCUGUUCAUCCUAGAGUUUGAAGGAGUUGAUUGCUUGACAUUCAGAAUGGGGUGGUAAUGGAGAUUAUGAUGGUAUCAAGGAAUUGACUGGCUUAAGAAGUGUGGCUGUUCUACUCUGCACAUCCAAUAAACUGGUGGUUGUUGUCCUUGGUACUCUGGAUGUUUUCCUGGCCUUUGAAGUUGUUUGGAGUCUUCAGUUGAAACCUCAACCUGAAACAAAAUUGUCAACAUUAGUUAUAUUGUAUACUAUUUAAUAAAUCUUUUAAUGAAAA
rnacentral:lncRNA from 1 species